GGGCUCUAUUUUCUAGGAGGCAUGGUCUCUGAGGCCUUUUGCAUUGUGAUACCUUUCAUGCUGUCAGGAUGGACAGUUGGAGGUGCCCCUAUCUGGCUCUUUUAUAAAUAGGGGCCUUAUUGCUAGAGGUUGGUAUCACUCCAAUGACCCUCUUGCAAUGUCAUGGUGGUGCCACCUCAUACGGCAUCAUGGAGUUGUCAGCAUUUUCUUCCAUAUGGGGAAGUCUUCCCCCUAUCUUCAGUCAGCCAUAGAAUACUUCAAGGGAGGGUGCUAGUUGUUGUGAUAUCACUUGCUCUGAUACCACUUGUUGGAGAUUUGAUAUCAUCCAUUGUAGCAGGAAGAAAGAAGAAAUAAAAUAGAAUUCACAAUCAAGUAUGUGGAAUAGCCCAAGUGCUACUUUCAUGGGGCAUACAAGCUUCACUAUGAAAGAGAAAAAAGUACAAGAGGA
rnacentral:lncRNA from 1 species